rnacentral:ncRNA from 1 species
AGGGCAAGGUGCCCGGUGUGAUGCCGGGAUAAUCGGGAAGCAAGUAAAACUGCGCGAACUCGUCACCGUAUGCGGGGAGUCCGUCUGUCACUGCGAAAGCGGGAAGGCAGACAGGGGACCUUGAUCCGCGAGCCGGGAGACCGGCCUUGCCUUUUA